UGCCAGACUCCUACGGGAGGCAGCAGUGGGGAAUAUUGGGCAAUGGGCGCAAGCCUGACCCAGCAACGCCGCGUGAAGGAAGAAGGCUUUCGGGUUGUAAACUUCUUUUAAGAGGGAAGAGAAGAAGACGGUACCUCUUGAAUAAGCCACGGCUAACUACGUGCCAGCAGCCGCGGUAAUACGUAGGGGGCAAGCGUUAUCCGGAUUUACUGGGUGUAAAGGGAGCGUAGACGGCCAGACAAGUCUGAAGUGAAAAUCCAGCGCUUAACGUUGGAAGUGCUUUGGAAACUGCCGGGCUGGAGUGCAGGAGGGGCAGGCGGAAUUCCUAGUGUAGCGGUGAAAUGCGUAGAUAUUAGGAGGAACACCAGUGGCGAAGGCGGCCUGCUGGACUGCAACUGACGUUGAGGCUCGAAGGCGUGGGGAGCGAACAGGAUUAGAUACCCGCGUA
rnacentral:rRNA from 1 species